ACGGCUCAGUAACACGUGGCUAACCUGCCCUUAGGACGGGAUCACCCCCGGGAAACUGGGGCUAAUCCCCGAUAGGUGAAGAACUCUGGAAUGAGUCUUUGCUCAAAGGGCGUCAGAUCAUGCUUCUGGCGUCGCCCAAGGAUGGGGCCGCGACCGAUCAGGUUGUUGGUGAGGUAAUGGCCCACCAAGCCUAUAACCGGUGCGGGCCGUGAGAGCGGGAGCCCGGAGAUGGGCACUGAGACAAGGGCCCAGGUCCUACGGGGCGCAGCAGUCGCGAAAACUUUGCAAUACACGAAAGUGUGACAGGGUUAUCCCGAGUGCCGACCGCUGAGGUUGGCUUUUACCCAGUCUAGAAAGCUGGGGGAAUAAGGAGAGGGCAAGUCUGGUGUCAGCCGCCGCGGUAAUACCAGCUCUCCGAGUGGUGUGGACGUUUAUUGGGCCUAAAGCAUCCGUAGCUGGCUGGACAAGUCCCCUGUUAAACCCACCGAUUUAAUCGUUGGCGUGCGGGGGAUACUGCUCGGCUAGGGGACGAGAGAGGCAGACGGUAUUCCCGGGGUAGGGGUGAAAUCCUAUAAUCCCGAGAAGACCACCAGUGGCGAAGGCUGUCUGCUAGAACGCGCACGACGGUGAGGGAUGAAAGCUGGGGGAGCGAACCGGAUUAGAUACCCGGGUAGUCCCAGCUGUAAACGAUGCAGACUAGGUGUUUGGACGGCCACGUGCCGUUCUAGUGCCGCAGGGAAGCUGUUAAGUCUGCCGCCUGGGGAGUACGAUCGCAAGAUUGAAACUUAAAGGAAUUGGCGGGGGAGCAC
rnacentral:rRNA from 1 species